rnacentral:piRNA from 1 species
CACGGGACUCAGCAGUGAUAAAAA